AAUAUUGUUUUACUAAUUUUCGUAUUUUUUUAGUUAAGAGAAGAUAUUCUAUAACAAGAUCGUUUAUUCAAAUACCACUGUAUUAGUGGGCUUUUACGUCUUUUAAAUGUUCUAAGUUGGUAACAUUGAGUGCAACCAGUUUACAUGAUCCGGAUAUAUCUGUCAAAUAAUUUCCCUCUUUCUUACUUAAUAAUAAUAUCAAUAAUGAAAUAAUUUAUUUAAAUUAUAGAAUUGUGGAUUCUCAGUGACAGGUAUAAAGUUCCAAAUUCUAGAAAUUAGGUUCUAAAUUGUUACAAAUAAGUUCCAAAAUAUCGGUAUAGGUUUGAAGUCGACCGGAAAAAGUGGGAAGGGGAUGUGUGAAGUUAGCCUUUCCAACAGAAAAUGCCAGUUCGUGAAAAAUGUAUGAAGUUCUAAACUAAAUUUUGAAAACAAGGUUCCAAAUUGUUCCGAAUAAGUUCCAAAAAUGUUCCAAAAUAUAGAUGAAGGUUUGAAGUCGAUCGAACAAAGUGAGGGGGAGGCAACUUCACGUACGUCAACCUCAAAAAUAUCUCUGACUCUGUUCUUGAAUGUAAUGAACAGGUAUAGAACUUUUUUCAGUGACGAAGAACUCACUACUAAACUAUCACAUGAUA